rnacentral:misc_RNA from 1 species
CAUUGAUUGCUAAAUAAAUGUAAAAGCACAGAAAGUCAAUACCCGAACCACACAUUGUUCUUGCUGUUCUGUAGAGGCAAUGAAGAGAUAAUAACCAAAAAAAAAAAUAAAUACCCUUCAGCAGCAGCAGGAAAGAGAUGGAUGGUGCGUUCUUGACUCCCUAUUUAAUUGAUACUAUUCUUCCAAGGUAAAAAUUUUAUCAGAAA